rnacentral:lncRNA from 1 species
GUGGACUGUCUGUGAAUGGAAACUUAUUCAAGAAUAGCAAGUGCUGGUUAACGCAGAGGAGCAAAGGAUGGCCGUGCAGCUGCAGCAGACAGCGGAAGCAGCGGGGUAAGAGCUGAGCAAGUGCUGCCCAGGCUGAGCGGCCGGAAGCAGCCGCAGAGGAAGCCAGGAGGAACCGGCGCGAGCCAGCCAGCGGCCAGGAACCAAGGGCAGAGCACUUCACAUGCCGUUCUAAGAGAGAUGGAAACAGGAAGCACCUUGCAGGGAAG